CCACGAACAAAUCUACACACACCGGAAAGAAACACCACAAUCUAUCACCAGUCACCAACACAUCACCUCCAAUGUACCAUUACUACCAUCUUCAACUCAAAUCUACGACCACAAAUAUUACCAUCAUUGAUUUGUGUUAUAUGUGAUUAAUUGUGACCAAAUUUGUCUUCAAUAUGACCGUCCGUGACUAUUUCAAUCUAAUUCGUGACUCACUAUUAAUUUGAUCACAAACAGUCAUAAUAAAAACAGAGUUGGUCACACUUGGUCACAAUAAAUACAUACUUGGCCACAUAUAGUCACCAUAAAAAAAUUUGCAUACACCAAAGACCACCACCACAAUCCAUGACCACUCAUCACCACUAUCACUCCAAUGCACCACCACUACUACCUCAACUCAAAUCUACCUUCACUUCAAAUCCACAAUAACGAUCACCAUCACUAUAACUUCCACUAACACCUUUAACAAACACCAACCACCACCACCCCCCAUAGGCAUCACACCAUAACAGAACCACUACUAACAAUUUCAAAGUAUACAAGAUUUGAUCAGAUUGUCCUUCGAUCCCAUCUCUUCCACACUUCCUACUGACGCGUCAAAUGGGUCCGACCCCAAAUCUAGAUCCUCCAAUAGCUAGAAAUUCACCUUAGAAUGCCUUCUUUUGUUGGUGGUGCUCCUUGCAACGAG
rnacentral:lncRNA from 1 species